CCCUCAUGAGGACUGUUCCUGUCAGUUGCAUGAAAAUUCAUUCAAGAAUUUUCUGAGCCUGAUGGAUUUACAAUACUUGGCUGUCAGAGGAA
ensembl:misc_RNA